GAUGAACGCUGGCGGCGUGCCUAAUACAUGCAAGUCGAGCGAACAGACGAGGAGCUUGCUCCUCUGACGUUAGCGGCGGACGGGUGAGUAACACGUGGAUAACCUACCUAUAAGACUGGGAUAACUUCGGGAAACCGGAGCUAAUACCGGAUAAUAUAUUGAACCGCAUGGUUCAAUAGUGAAAGACGGUUUUGCUGUCACUUAUAGAUGGAUCCGCGCCGCAUUAGCUCGUUGGUAAGGUAACGGCUUACCAAGGCAACGAUGCGUAGCCGACCUGAGAGGGUGAUCGGCCAGACUGGAACUGAGAAACGGUCCAGACGCCUACGGGAGGCAGCAGUAGGGAAUCUUCCGCAAUGGGCGAAAGCCUGACGGAGCAACGCCGCGUGAGUGAUGAAGGUCUGCGGAUCGUAAAACUCUGUUAUUAGGGAAGAACAAAUGUGUAAGUAACUAUGCACGUCUUGACGGUACCUAAUCAGAAAGCCACGGCUAACUACGUG
rnacentral:rRNA from 1 species